CAGCAGCCGCGGGAAAACGGAGGGGGCUAGCGUUGUUCGGAAUUACUGGGCGUAAAGCGCACGUAGGCGGCUUGGUAAGUUAGAGGUGAAAGCCUGGAGCUCAACUCCAGAAUUGCCUUUAAGACUGCCGAGCUAGCAGGUGAGAGAGGUAAGUGGAAUUCCGAGUGUAGAGGUGAAAUUCGUAGAUAUUCGGAAGAACACCAGUGGCGAAGGCGGCUUACUGGCCCAUACUGGACGCUGAGGUGCGAAAGCGUGGGGAGCAAACAGGAUUAGAUACCCGAGUAGUCCCUGUCUCUUAUAC
rnacentral:rRNA from 1 species